rnacentral:rRNA from 1 species
GACAGAGGGUGCAAACGUUGUUCGGAAUUACUGGGCGUAAAGCGCGUGUAGGCGGCCAUCUAAGUCGGGCGUGAAGUCCCACGGCUCAACCGUGGAAGUGCACUCGAAACUGGAUGGCUAGAGUCCUGGAGAGGAAGGUGGAAUGCUUGGUGUAGAGGUGAAAUUCGUAGAUAUCAAGCGGAACACCGGUGGCGAAGGCGGCCUUCUGGACAGUGACUGACGCUGAGACGCGAAAGCGUGGGGAGCAAACAGG